CUCACUCCCCAGGCCCACACACUAGCCCACUGUUCAGGGUCCGGGGUGGCAGCAUGGCCUGGGGGUCCUGGCACCGCUGCUCCUCUGCCCACCCUAACUUCCCGGCAUGGCGGCUGCCCCCUCUGAGCGUCCCCAACCAAACUGCAGGGGAUAUGAAGCAAGCUGGACUUGGGGAGACAUCUCUGCUCGAGUGCACGUUGGCCUGAUGACGACUGCUCUUGGGUUCACGGGUUCCAGGCUCUGCCCGGGAGCCUCAUGCAAACUGGUCCCGUUCUACAGACGAGGAAACUGAGGCACAGAGUGAUUACGGCUGUCCCUGAGCUCCUGCAGCCAGUAAGGUGAUACACCAGGAUGUGUUCCCAGGUUGUCCGCUGGGCUCAGUAACACAGUCUCAACUGCCCUGUGACACUGCGUGUCUGUGCUUGUGGGGAAGGUGACCAGAGGCCCCCUUUCCUCCACGCGGUGAGCCUACCAGCAAGGAGACAGUCCUCAGGUGUGAGGAUGAGCCUCGUAGUAGGCACAGAGAAACAGGAGGAACCUUCUGGAAGGUGAAGCCUCCCACGGCUGGGACUCUUGGAGAAGGGCGGAUCUCUGUCCACUCCUGCCCACUCCCCAGCACAGACAGAGCAAGCAGGACAGAGGGCCCAACGUCCCAGGAUACUGCAGAGCUCAAAGGAGGGCAGAGAGCAUCGCCCCACAUGGGCGCCGGGAGAAAGGUGGGCGGGGUGCUCAGGGGCCCCUGGCCGUCCUGAAGUUUGCCUCAGAGAGGUGUGGGCUUCUCCUCCCUCCCAUACACAGUGUCUCUGAGGAUGAACUGCCAUGUGCCCGGCGGGGAUGCCGUCCCUGGCCCUUGCUGAGUGCCUCUGGGACGAGGUCAGCUGAGCCUGCCAUCCUAACUCAGACACCAUCUCACUCUCCAAGUCCCUUCUCGGUGAGACGGGGGGCCUUGCACCCACCUCCCAGCCCCCACACACCUGAGGGGGUCCCCGUUCCCCUACCCCGUGGCUCCACCACGCCCCACGCAUCCUACCUGAGGGACAGAGGGGACUGUGAGAUGCCCCCCACAGGCUGGUUUUCCUCUUUCACCCAUAACAGGCCCAGCAAAUUCUCACCUCCAGAGGCCAGGUCUGCCCCGCAGGUCUUAGGAAAUACAGCCCUACUUCCAUCCAGCACACCAACCCAAGGAAGUGCCUCGGAGCCCUGGGGCCCGAGGGGGGCCUGGCCUUGGUCUCACGGCGGCAGCUCCACCUGGAGAGGAGUGAACUCAAGCCAGGACGCCCCGUCUCCACAGCGGAAACCGUGUUGCCGGCUGCUCCCUCCUGGGGACUCUGGGCCUGAGGUUCCUGUGGGAGUUGGGGGGAUAGCUGAGUCCUAUGGAGGUGCCCCUCUCCUCCCCGCCCAGUGGAGCUUGGGGUGGGGACAGGCGAAGACAGGGUGAGAAGCACGGGGCAUUCCCCCUCCACACAGCGCUGAGAAAGUAAGGGAGCAUCCAGAAAACGGUGCCCACUUCCGCGUCAGGCGGAUAUCACGGGCACCAGCUCCAGGUGACCCUAGCCCAGCCAGAGAACAAGGACCAGGUUGUGCCGCAAAGCCCGUGUCCGCUCCCUCCCGCCUGGGACCACUGUGGCGAGGGGAAGGGAGCGUGGUGGCCCUCUCCUGACUCCUGAGGCCUGAAGUCCAAGCUCCCGGCCCUCAGGCAGGCCAGGGUCUAGACACCGCUGCCCCAAACACACCCCCCAGUCCCCGCCCGCAGGCUUCCUGCAGGAUCCCCCAGUGCACCUGGGGGCUGAGGAGAGUGAGCAGGGCGCAAAGAAGCUUCGUCGGGAGGGCGGUCCCCACCCGCCUUGGACCCCCGGGGAUAGUGUCCUGGGGCCUGGGCUCAGAUGCACCCUGGGAGGAAUGGUGCGGAGGCUGUUUUUUGCUCCAAGAGGACAUUGCCUCAGCAGAGGGCUGCCGAGCUGGGAGGACCCACAGUGCAAGGCCGCAGAACCCCCUAGGAAGCCUCAGAGCCUUCAGGUUCCGGGCUGAGGCUGUGGGCGUGGACCCUUGUGCAAACCCCACUGGAAGAAAAACCUUACAGCUCAGGAGGAGGAGGGGCCCCACCCGCUCCCAGAGCCCGUAAACGAGGGGUGGUGCCCACAUGAGGCCUGGGGAAGGGCUGGGGCUGGGACACCCCCUCACCACCCCCAGAUACCCCAGGCAGCCCCUCCCUCCACAGAGAGACCCACUGGGCCUGACCCUGCCCUGGGCACAGGGUCGAGCCAGGGACGGCCCGUGGGAGAAAGACGGCUUCAUGGGCCGCUGGCCGGGCCAGGUGCGUCCUUCCCCAGUUCUAGGUGGCAAAUGGGGUGGGGCCAGAGCCUUCUGGCUAGGGAAGACACUGGCCUGGUUGGUGUGGCAGGGGCAGCGAAGGAGGGUCAAAGGCCACUCUGGCCUGGAAGAGUCCCCAGCCACCUGGACGGGGGUAGCCAGGCCUGGUCCCUGCCCCCACUCUCCAAGGGGUCGGGGCAGCCGGGCAGAGCCAGUAAGUGUUUGUUUUCAGAUGACAUUUGUAAAGAAAAACAGCCUCCCACACUGCUUGACCCUGUGUCUGGAAUGUGGGGAGGCAAACAGCUGUGCCCUUCCCAGACCCUGCACAGCCCCUGGUGGGGGCAGGGCCCUGGUGGGAGCAGGGCCCAGAGGUACAGCCUGGGGAGGCACCGGCCAUUGUGGUUGGAGCGCGGCAGCCAGGCUCUGGGCUCUGUUCCGGGCCUCACUGUGUCCCCAGUGGGGUGCCGCCACCACCCCCCCAGCCUGGGCCCCGCCGGUCAGACACCCGCAGGGACAGCUUGUCUUGGCUAGCUGGCUACAGCACCUCGCUGGAGUCCAGCAGACACGCGCUCCCGUGCGCACGCUGCGCCCCAGGCCAGCCCUAACGCCGCUGCUCGGGUCAGGCCCCCCGCCUGCCGUGGGCUGCUGGCUGCCUUGGCCCGCCCCAGCUCUCUCCGCGCCCCUGCCUCCAGGGAGCCCUCCUCGAGGACUCCAGCCACCCAAGCUCAGCAGGGCCAGCCCGAGCCCCUGCCCCACACAGCCUGUGUGGAGGGUCCUCAGCCCCCUGAUCCCCCAGACCCUCCCGGCAGAGGCUGGGUCCCUGGGGCUUGGGGAAAGCCGGCUCCAUGGCCCCUGGCCUGGAUGAUUUCCCAGAGGCCGGUCCCCUGCCAAGUGCCUGGUGACCCUUGUUCCUACCUGGCUGCCCAUGGUCCUUUGUGCGACCCCCGCCCACAGCCCAGGAGCUGGGCAGGAGACUCUGAUUGGGUGGCAGCAGAGCCAUCCUAGGGCUGCCCCUGACCCUGGCCCUGACCCUGCCCUGGAGCCUCGUUUCCAAAUCUUGCCUCAUGCUUUCGCCAGACCCCUGUGGCCCCUUCCCGACCCUGGAGUGCCCCUGGGGCUUCCUGGAAAGGGCCUCUCCUUUGCUCACAGUUGGGUGCCGAACUUCACCAGCAUUGACCACCCGAAGGCGCAGGGACACCCCCGCAGUCCCUCUCCUGGGGGUCCCAUCACCAACUCCCCAUGGGCGGGAUAUCAGAAGAAUUCUCUGCGCAGGUGCUCCGCCCCUUCAGGCCCAGCACUUCCAGGGCUGCCCGAGCUGAGGACCUGUGCAGAGAACUCUUCUACACCCCACAGAGGAGGCUGAGGGGUCGAGGCGGCUGCGGGAGCCCCAGGGGGCCACCACACAGCCAUGCCUGCCCCUCUCCUCGGUGGGUGUAGAAAGCUCUUAAAUGGUGGAAAAACAAGGGCAUGGCCACAUUGCACAGGCACAGAAGGUUCCAGAAGGAGUGAAACAAUGGCAUGGAGGGAGCAGAGCCUGGGCCGGUGGGGGCACAGGGAUGAGGCCAGUGAAGGCCACGGGUUGGGGGGUGCCCUGAAGCCAACGACCCCAUCCUUAUCGCCUGUGUCUCUCUGCACACAGCGUCUCGUCUGCAAAGUUAGCUGAGCAAACGCCAGGAGCCAAGGGUCGAGGCAACGAUAUCCGUGGGGCCACUCCACACCCCCUCUGCCUGCCCCAUCAAGACCUGCUUUCCUGGUUGAAAUCCAACUCACGAUUUGCCCCCGGGGGCCCAGCAGCCCUACCCAAUGGAGCAGCUGCACCCACAUUGCCCAGCUUCCCAGGCGGACAGGGGCUUGGUGAGCCUUCCUGUCCCCACUGGAGCAUGGCCGGAGUGAUUUUCUGCUUCUGCUGCAGAUCACCCUGGUGGGAGCAGCUGUAAUCGCAUUAUCCCCAGUUAUGCCUCCACUGGGCACUGGGGUAGGGACAGGACUGCCAGGACACGAUUCCAUUUACCUAACGCCAGUGGAGCCCUGGGGGCUCUCCUAGGUCCACGGGGAGGGGUGGCCAUCUCUCUAGGCCCAGGGACCCCAGGACAGGGGUAGAAAACCACGGGAGAGUUAAGGAGUUAAGGCCAGAAGGGGCCAGUCCGGCCAAGUGGGGCAAAGCUGUCCACCGUUGGGCAGGGCAUGACUGAGGGGCGGUGUGGGGAACAGCUGCUCAUCUCCCCCAGGCCCAUGCCCGUGAUGAACUGUGUGACUACCCCCAGGAUCAGUCAGGAAGCUUGGCCCAGGAGCCUGUGCAGACCUAACAGCCAGCUCCAGCCCCGAGGCAGGGCAGCUGUGCUCCAGAGGGCUCCCGGGGCCGCACUGUCCCUCCCAGGUGGACACCCUCGUGGCACGUACGCCCCUGCUCUCAGCCCUCUCCUUCACUGGAUGGAGAGACUCGGGACCCGCAGAGGUGGGUGGCGGGCAGAGGAGGUGGAGCUGGUCUGAGACGCAAGACGUGGCCUGUGGAUUCUAGGAGCAACUGGUGGCUUCCAAGGUCCCCCACCCACUCCACACAUGUUCCCAAACCCCGUUUUGCAGAUGAGGAUGGCAGGCUCAGCACAGGGGCCCAUGUCUCUGUCACCAGGCAAGGUGGGGGGGCUCUAGGGCCAGAAUCGCUCCCACCUCCAGCCGGGGAUCAGAGGUCUCUGGUUAGCAGCCGAGGCGAGCGGGACACAGGCUGAGGGAUGGGGACAGCUGCUCGCCCGGCACAGACAAGGCUCCCCUCCCCAUGCUGGAGACCCCGGCUGCCCCAUCAGUCACGGCCCACCCAGGACCAUGCAAUCAUCCUCCACUUCUCCUAAUCCUCCUGCCAGCUUCUUCCCAAGAGUCCAAGCAGUUGGAUGCAUUUUCUAAAUUCUCAGGCCACUGCUGUUUCCUCCUCAAAUUCCUUGUCCCCCACCCGUGGCCCCCUCCCAGCCAUGGGAAAGGACUGCUGCGGCCUCCCCACAGGCCUGUGCACGGGUGGGGCUGCGUCCAGGCAGCUGUGAGGUACCGGGGACCCAGGGGUAAGAGCCCCGAUUACAGGGGCGUCAUGGGAAAGUGGCGAGGGGAGGCCACCCAGGGCCCCCACCACAGCCCCGCUCCACAUCCUCCCCUGAUCUCUGGCCCUGGAAAGAAUCAGAUGGGACCCCCAGCAGCAGUCACUUGAGUCCCACUGCCACCGGCUGUGCUGAGGAUGCCCACUGGGCCGUGCUGUGGCCACCUGGCUUGCAGUGUGGGCACCAAGGUAUCGGCCCAGAUUCCUACCCAUCAGAGCACCAGCACAGGGCCGAGCCAGUGCCACAGAGCCCCUGGGCUGCAGCACGUCCUGCACGUCCCACAGACCGGCCUGCCGGGAGGGAGGGGUGCUGCCCAGGGCUCGGUGCCCUCCCGGAAGGGGCUUCAGUGGGGCUGUUUGCCAGGUGGUGGCUCUGACGCAGGAGAGGACAGAUGGGCAGAGCCCGAGGGCAGCCCUGGCCAGGUGCGUACAGUGGUGGCUGUGACGCCCUCUCCCACGCCUGUCUCUGGGUCCAGGAGGAGUGAUGAUCUCCAGGCUCCAGAGGACUAGGAACAGCAGGCAGGCUCGCUGCUGAUAACGGGGACUUCUCCACCUGGUGGGGAGUGAUGAGGCAAGACCGGAUGGCAGGCCCCAGGCCUCUCCUCUCCAGGGACAGCCAUCAUCUCCUCGCCUGUGCAGGUCUCAAUCAGUCAGUGAUUACGCAACCAGCAACCAGCACUUUAUUGCCGGUUGUGAAGAUCUGGAGGACAUGCGGGUCCCCGGGGCCACAGCCUUCCCGCAUGGGUCACCUGGGGUGUCUACAGUCAAGGCCAGUCUGACAGGUGGGAUGGUGCUUCCCAGCAACCCCACCCUGAGGAGAACCCUGCUGCCUCUCCCUGCUCUCCACCCCCAGCACAGGCCCCGGGAAGCCUCCAGCUGAUGACGACACCAGGACGGUGCUGAGUGGACCCUGGGGCCAGCAUCACAAGGCACCCAGGACCCCAGACCACCCAGCCACACCCCAGGCUACGAGGAGGGGGCGCUCCGGCGAGGCUGGGGUGCCUUCAAGGUGCAUCCUAGCAACAUCCUCCACCUGCAGGAGGGACACUCGGUCACAGCUUGGGGAGGAUGUGCUCAGACGGCAUAGGAAGGAUUUGCUCAGACCCCAUGGGGAGGAUUUGCUCAGACCCCGUGGGGAGGACUUGCUCAGACCCCAUGGGGAGGACUUGCUCAGAACCCAUGGGGAGGACAUGCUCAGACCCCGUGGGGAGGACAUAGACCCCGUGGGGAGGACUUGCUCAGACCCCGUGGGGAGGACAUGCUCAGACCCCAUGGGGAGGACUUGCUCAGACCCCGUGGAGAGGACAUGCUCAGACCCCGUGGGGAGGACAUGAUCAGACCCCGUGGGGAGGACUUGCUCAGACCCCGUGGGGAGGACAUGCUCAGACCCCGUGGGGAGGACUUGCUCAGACCCCGUGGGGAGGACUUGCUCAGACCCUGUGGGGAGGACAUGCUCAGAACCCAUGGGGAGGACUUGCUCAGACGGCAUAGGAAGGAUUUGCUCAGACCCCAUGGGGAGGAUUUGCUCAGACCCCGUGGGGAGGAUUUGCUCAGACCCCGUGGGGAGGACAUGCUCAGACCCCGUGGGGAGGAUUUGCUCAGGCCCCAUGGGGAGGACUUGCUCAGACCCCGUGGGGAGGAUUUGCUCAGACCCCGUGGGGAGGACAUGCUCAGACCCCGUGGGGAGGAUUUGCUCAGACCCCGUGGGGAGGACUUGCUCAGACCCCGUGGGGAGGAUUUGCUCAGACCCCAGGCAGGCAUCAUGAAUGCGCCCAGCCCGGACCCCAGACUGGUAGCUCCUACCACACGCGGAGCAGCAGAGGCUGGCAAGAGGGACUCAGGACUUGGGCUGGGGACAGAGGGCCCUGCACAGCUCUGGGGUCCUGACCCAAUCCUGCAUUUCCAUAGAGAGCUGCCUGGGCACCCAUGCUGAGGGUCCCUGCACCCCCUGGUGUAUCGGAGACCCUUCCCCCACCCCCUAUCCCCCGCCACUGAGACACAGGAAUGUACAGGAUGGCUGUGAGGGCAGAGGCAGGCCCAGGGCGCAGCAGGCAGGGCUGGGCGGGGCUGGGGAUCUGCAGGAGGUUGGCCCUGGAGAUGGGACAUGUCUGGACCCUCGGUGUCAUCACCUCUAUGUUUUGACCACUGAGCAAAAUUACACUAAAUGAAGCACAAAUUAGCCAAGGGGACAGUCGACUCUGUCCUUUCUUCUUAAUCCCUCUGGCUCAGGGUUUCCCAGCCUGGACAGCCUGUCCGAGGGGAAGGCUGCCCAAGGGCACACGGGCAUCGGUCCGGGGACAUUCAGGCAGUGACCAAUCCCUGGCCACCCUGGUGUGUGCCCGGCAAUGUGGGCCUUUUCCCAGACAGCCAGUGGGGGAGCGGCUGCUGUGGGUCCCUGAGUCUUAGCCAGAUGGUCAAGGAUAGGACAAUGAUGGAGACCCGCAUGCGGCCGCAUCCAUGGGUAAAGGAGGCGGAACGGAGGACAGCUCUGCCAUCCCCUCAGCCAGCCAUGAAAAGCAACCCUUUCCCCUAAGGCCCCAGCACCACCUUGGAGGCCACCAUGGGCUGGAGCCCAGCACAGCCACCAUCGCAUCUUGGCUGUCCAGCUCAGGACGGCCAGUUCCAAGGCGUCCAGGCUGGAGCUCUGGGGGCGGAAGAGCACAAGCUCCUGAAGAGCCUCUGGUCCAGCCCUGGCAGCGGAGGGCCAGGUGAGAGCCUGUUGAGGGCUCUGAGGACUCCAGGAGGGACUGGCUGAGGACACCGGUGGGGGUAAUACCUCCCCCUCCAAUGGCCGCUCGCAGGAGGCAAUUCCCAGAGCCCCGCUCCAUGGGCCACCAGGUACCCAGAGCCUCAUUUAGAAAUGGCCAUGCCUCCCCACAGGCCCCCGCUGGGAUCCUGGUGCUUCAAAUGUCCUGCUGUGGUCCCAGGGAGGAGCAAAACCCCCUCCCAGUCAGGAAGCAUCCUCAACCGCAUCUAAUUCCAGAUGCUACCUCCCACCUUGGCUUUCCAGGAGACGGAGAACGGAGCCGGCCCCUCUCCAAGGCCCCGAGGCCCGGCAGGGCACCCCUCGGAGCAGAUAAGCUCACCCCUGCUCCCAGGACAAGCAAGCUCCUGCUGAGGCUCUGCUACUGCUAAUUGGCCCUUGGGAUAAGCAGACCUGUCCAGGAAAGAACCCUCUCCCUGAUCUCCUGGCCCCAGCCCCAUCCGGCCGGGAGUUCUGACUUAAGCAAAUAAUCAGUCCAGGGAAUUGGAGGCUCAACAGAAUCGUCCUCCAGGAAUCUGGUCUUCGUUCCUCCACCCUCCUCCUCCCGUCUCCGCCCGGGGUCUUGAGAUCAACAGCAAGGUUUUGCACUCGUAGGGGCUUCCCGGAGACACCCUCCAGCCUCAACCCAGAGGAGAUGGGUGCCUGGGCCGUGACCCCUCACACAAGAGGACCAAGCCCAGAGAGGAGACGGGAAGCCAUGCGCCCGGCCAGCUGGGGUCUGCGAUGGACUCAGUGGGGUCCAGCCCUCCUCACUCCAAGGGGAGCUGGGAGCCGACCCGGUGAGGGAGGGCAUCCUGGGAAAGUGACAGGAAUCAGGGAAUGGCCCUGGGGCUCCGGACCUCCUCUGAUGGAGUCAUUCAAGGCCCUUGGCAGAGCUGGGCAUCCUCUGGGCCCCAGGGAAUAAGGUCCCCUCACUCCACCACAGAACAGCAUCUGGGCACCUACCUGUUGGCCAUGGGCAGAGCAAAACUCUCUCCUGGACCCCAGUGCCCAGAGCCCUGGCCUUGGGAGGGAGCUGUGCAUCCUCAGGAGCCCCCCCGGGCUGCCCCCCACCACCCUGCAGGCAGCUCACCCUCCCACCCCACCAGCUGCAGGUGCGGACACGUGUCUUCUCCUUCCCCAAAUGCUCGUUCUGCACCUGCUUCGGGAGGGCAGUCCUGCCUGCUCACAGCCCAGCCCUGCCCGAACUCCUGGCCAUGUGUGGAAACACACGGGCGUUAGAACAUGGCAUCCCGGUUCCCUUCUAUGUUCAGGAAGACGACACCCAUCUGGCUGAGGGGAUGGCAGAGCCCCUCUCCCCACAGCCCCCUCUGCAGUGCAGCUCUCCUUUCCUCUCCCCGCAUGCCUCUUCCCGAGGGCAGCCCCUUCUCUCCAUCAGGAUCGCAUGCCUCUUCUCGAGGGCGGCCCCUUCUCUCCAUCAGGAUCACCCUUCCUGGGCCUCCGGGGUGCAACGGGCGGGCGCUGUUUCCCCCAAGCCCUCCCUUCCUCCCUCGGGGUGGGGCCCUUUCCUCCAGGCUCUUCUCCGUCUCCUGGUCUCUGCCAUCUCCCAAAACCCAUUCUAUUUCUCCACAUGUCUACCUCGUCCCCCAUCCGUCUCCAUUCUCCUAGUCUCCCGCCUGCCAGCCCGGCCCUGGCACCAGCCACUUGGCAGCCUCCUCCUCCUCCUCCCAGAACCUUCUCUUUCCUUCCUGGUCCCAUCUCAAACUGCAGCAAGCUGGUCGAAAGGUGAGACCAGGCUGGGAGGAGCUGUGGGCCACGGAGAUGGUGGCCGGGGGAGGUAUGGGAGGUGGGAGGGCAGGCGGGCCAGGUGGGGAGCAGGGCAUCUUGCCAUGGGAAGGGCUGGAGGAAACACCGCAUCCAGGGAUGGCCAGAGCUCGCCUGGAGCCCCUGAAGGUCUUGCUUUUAGAGCCGGGUGGGGCUGCUGUGUGGCCAAGCCGGGCGAGUGGCCCCAUCCCCGGGUCCUGGGCUCCUGGCGUCUGCCCUGGAGCCCACCAUGUUGCAGUACUGUGUGGCCGUCCAUUGCUGCUCUCUUCACUGUAUGACCGGGGGUUCCCUCUGUGCCCCUCAAAGCCCCAACUUGCCUGGACUUUGGGUCUGCAGCUGGCGCAUGGGAAUCUUCCCACAUGGCAGCGUAGGGUGACUAUGGAGCCGACCAAGGCUGCCAAGGUCUUACUUGAGUAGAAGACGUCCAUCCUGAGCGAUCCUGUUGGCCGGUCCUCCGGAUCCAGCCUUCCUGGGAAUGCGGCCACCCACAGGACUCCAAGCGGGUCUGGGGUCCCUGGUCCCCCAGGUUGACCACCCCUUGCUGCAGCUGCUCCGGAAACAGAGGGUGCUGCCCUGGCCAUUUUGCUCCUUGCUGGGUGUCUGGGAGGGCUGCGAGGGGAGGAAGAAGGGCAGGGAGAGGUGAGAGACCCGAGAGAAGGGGGAAGGAGUCUCAAAGGAGGGGAGGGACGGCCGGCCAGCACUGUGGCGCAGUGUGCAGGAGGGGAACAUGGCGGUGCCCGGCACGAGGUGGGGUGCGGGGCAGCCCUGGAGCCCUGGCUGCCUCUCCCAGCAGUGGGUCCGGCACUAGCUAGCCAGCUGAGCUUGCUGUGUUUGGAGUCUGCAGAAAGUGCUGCCCCGCCAAGCCCCACAGGCCAAGCCAGGCCCGAGGGACAGGAAGGAGCAUGGGGCCUUCACUCACUGCCCAGCCCGGGGCACGGCCGGCCCAUCUCCCAUUUCCAGGGCAUCCGGGGACGGGCACGCCCCGGAUACUUACUGCCCUGUCACUGGAGGUUAGCAUCCUCCCUCGUCCGGUGCCCUGCCCAGGUGGCUGUUACCUCCCCUACCUCCUCCAAGACCCUGAGCAGGGGGAGAAAGAAAGUGGACAGAGGCACCCGACCUCCUGACCUGAGUGUGGUCCCCGCUUUGUUCCCCCUUCCUCUGCCCCCAGUUCUCACUGCGAAGGAGGAGAGGGCUCACCUGGGGUGGCCCCACGUGCCUGCCAGCCUUGGUCCAAGACUGCAGAGAAGGGUCCCUGAGGAGGUGGGGAGGAACCCAGAGGCAGAUCCUGAGGGUCUUCCCUGAAAGAGGAGGGCUGGUGGGCAGCAGGAAGAUCCGGGAUUGUGCCCUCAGCUGCCCUCUCUGUCCUGACGUGUCACCCGCUAAGGGUCAUGGGCCAAGGAGGGAACGGGCAAUGUCUGGGAGCCAUAGAGUUGGGAUGGCCCGGCCAGGCUGGGUGUGGGGUCUGUUGGGGAUCCCAGGUGAGGGGAAGGAAUUGGGAGUGGACCUGGGCCCGAGGCAGGUUGGGUGGCUGGUGCAAGGCAGAGGGCUGGCCCCGGGGGCAUUCUGUCCUGGUUCCUCUGUCCCCUCACCCAGUUCGUGAGCAUCCCUCGUGGAGCAGGCCCCAGGGAGAUCACGGGCGGCGGGUGGGCAGAUGGAGUGCAAUAUCCCCCAAGGAAAGUGUGUUGUGAGGUGGUGGAGGGCAGGGCCGGAGAGGCCCCAGCUGUGGAGCAGGACGCUGGAGGGCUCAGGGCAGCCGAGCCAGGGCCCGGGGCAGCCGCAAAGUGGCACUGUGUUCUUUUGGGCCGGACCAGAGCCCAGGCAGUGUCAGGAGGUGGAUGGUGUGGAAGAGAGAGGAGUUCCAGGGGCGCACUGGGGGGCCCUCUGUGUGGCUGGAAGGUGGAGGGGCGCUGGGUGGAAGGGCUGGCUUCGGGCUGGCGGCUUGGGCUAAGGCAGGCUUGCAGGGGCUGGCUCCUGAACCCACGCAUGGCGAGAAGUAUGGGCUGGAGCGGCCACAGCAUUGGGGAAAGACAGAUGGGAGGGCUGGACAGGAAGCAGGGCUGUGGCCAGGCCGGGGCCCCGGGAGGACAGGGACGAGUGGUGGACGUGAGGGUGCAGAGGAGCAAAGUCCAGGACUUGGCCCGGAUCGGGAUGCUCAGGAGGCUGGGGAUGCUCGGAGGAAAGCAAUGGGGGAGCCCGGCUGCCUGCCCCACCCCUGCCACCCUCAGCUCCUUCUGCCCGCCAGGACUCCCAGGCUCCAUCAGGUGCCGCAGCACCCUGGCUGCGACAUAACGAGGUGGGACAGGGUCAGCAAGGUGACUUCUCGUGCCCCAGUGUUUGCAAAUCCCCAAAAUGACCCAACAGACAAGCUCGAGGCUGGAUUUUCCAAGAGGGCCCCUUCAAGUACCAAAGGACACAAAGAGCAGGCCCUUCUGAGUCUGCGGCCCACAGAUGGCAACACGGGCCCCGGACCCCAGGACCACCUUGGGCACAGAGCGGCUGGGCCCAGGAGGCUGGCCUCUCCCGGGGAUCCCACGGCUGGCCUGCGGGGCUGCAGCAAACACGUGCAGGGCUUUCCAGAGCCCCGCACAGAACAAAGAACAAAAUGGGGAGAGCAGGGCCUGGGCUGAACGGACCACGGGCGGGUGGGCGGAGGGGCACAGCGGCAUGGCACCCACUGCCAGGCCGAGGGCAGCUGCAGGGGGCUGGGCUGGAGCAGACCCGGGGUGGGGGUGGGGGCUGGAGGAGGCUCUCACGGCCGGAAUCAAUAACUCACACUGGGGGAGGGCGGGAGACGCUUGUGGCGGAGCGGGGAGGGGGUGCCGGACAGGGUGUCCCUCCACCCCCAAGUUCAAAGUUUUAUGGCGAGCAGGCUUGACUUCCUCCCGCGUCCCUCCUCUCCAGGUGUUAUUUGAAAAAAAUACUUUUCAAACUACAUGCUGAAAACUUCAGCAUGAAAAUUUAAUGUCAGAAACUCUGUAAUCUCUUUCCCAGAGAUAAGACCCAGCCCCUCGAGGAGGGGCGAACUCGAUCCCUCUAACACAGAAAGCAGACGCCAGGCCGGGAAGGCAGGGGCCUGGCGGCCUCACUGGGGGAGGCUCAGGCUCACGCUCCCUCCCUCCCUCCCACCCGCGGCUGGGAGGGGGUGACUGAGAGAGGCCCUGCAGGGCUGGAGCUGCAGGGCUGGGGCGAGGGGUCCGGCAGGAGGGGCCGUCCUAGUGCAGCCUGCAGGCUUCGGGCCUUCGGGAAGCACAUCCUGCCGCUCUCCCGCGUGCACCCCGCUCCCCGGAACUUGGAGUGGGUGCCGCUGCUGCCAAGGCUCGGGUUUCCAUGACGGCUGAGGCCCCUGGCCCUCUCACUCAGACCCUAACUUAGGCCUCGCUGAGGGCUCAGGUUGUGGACAGCUAAGCUGGGGAAGGACAACGUGGCCACCACCGCCCACGGCCUUUCUGACCGGCAGCGCCGCCCUGGGUUGGGUGGCGGGGGCGUCCUGCACACACGACUCCUGAGGUCAAGCCUGGGUGUGGGGGUCUUGGACUCUGAGCUGCCAGGCCCGCCGGGUCCUGGCCUCAGGGAGAGGGGAACGGAGCUGCCACACACCCGGCUCUUGACUCGAUUUCUCUGUGGGGGACAGACAUAACUUCUCCAAGCUGUUUCCAACAGCCCCCACCCUGAAGACGGCCUCCACCUCAGACAUCAGACAACGCCCCGAGCCCCCCCUGCCCAGGGCCGGGAGGGCAGGCUGCCCGGAAGGAGGGUGGGGCUGCCCGGGGGCUGGGUGUGCGCUCCAGACCUGUGUUCUGGGACUGCAUUCCGGGGGAGGGGGUGGUGGGAAGGCGCCAUGUGGAGCAAACCGGCUGGGCUGGGGGCAGGAGGCCCCCCAAGCGGGGAGAGGGAGGCGUCCGACCGACCGCACUGCUCUGCUGCCCCCACCAGGCAGGCCGAGGCCGGCAUCCCCGGAGACCGGGACCUGGUGGCCCAGCCCAGCACUCCUGAAUGAGCCUGAGGCCCCCGUGUCCUGAGAGGCAGGGGGCUCCCUCCUUUGUAGCGGAAGGAGACAGAGGCCUCCUAAAGGGGCCGGACGCCUGCCCAAGGCGCUAGUCGCCUGGAAGCUCCCAGAAUGUGGGUGUGGGAGAGGCCAAACUGCUUUCUCCCCAAACCCCAAAAUCCUGGGUGACCCUGAACCCGGGCCUGGGCACUUGGCCCUGUCUGCCCAAGCCCCCUACCGGCCCCCCCAUGUGCUUUGCGUGGUCCGAGCCCAGCGGGUGGGGCAGGGCUGGCUUGAGGCUGCCGAGAGGGUUUCUCCCCAACCGUCCUGCCCCCUCCAGGGGACAUGCAGAGCCAGACUGGUCUGUUGUCCUGUGUUUGCCUGCCUCUCCCGGUGUUGCCGUGGUGAUGACACACCAGGCAUGGCUGGGAGGGGUCAUACCUCAGGCAGACCAAGAGUCCUGCGUGUCCACCACAGACGGCACCCCCUCAGGAUGCCCACGCCCUGGCCCCCGGCUCCCAGGCCUUGUCGAGAAUGUUCCAUGAGCCUGACGGACAGGCACGAGGUCCAGCGUGUGAGGCCCAGGCCGCUGCUCCGGCGCCUGCCCUUGCAUCCCCACAGCACCCCGCCCAGCCACCCUAUCUGUCCUCGGGGUCCCCCCAGCCGUCUCAGGUCCAGGCUGCUGGGUGUGAGAAGCGCCCUGGGUUUCUGCUGUGUCCCUGCCCCCUGACGAGGAGCGCUUCUCUUCCUGCACCCACAGCCCCACACAGCCCCUCCACGCCCCAGGGUCCCCCAGCCAACCCAGCGUCCUAUCUGCUGCUUGCAGCUGAGCCUGCGGCGGGGGACCCCAGGCAAAUAUGAGGAAGCCUGGGCAGAAGGUGGCCCCUGCAGAAGCUGCUGCCCACGUGCCCCCGCCCCAUGCUGCCAGGAGAGGCUCGGACCUCAACAACUUGGGAGUGGCAGAAAUGGUCUCUGCAUGACCAGUGCGGCCCCUUCUUAGCCCCUUCCUGGGGCUUCCGGAGGGCCUAGCAGCUUCCCUGGCUGGGGGCUGAGGGGCCUCCGGGCGGCGACUCUUGGAAAAGCCUGAGGUCAGAAGAGUUCAGAAACGGCCGUGCUGGCUGGGUCCUCUUGACUGAUGUGGACAACUGUGUCCCAUCUCCCUGAGCUAUUUCUGUUUUCGCAGGAGUCAGGGGAGGGCUGGAACUCCGGCUUCCCGGCAUCCCGGCGGGCAACCAGAUACCCUCAGAUAAAGGGCAUUCCUGCAGGCCUUCAUCACGCUCCCCGGGCAGCUGCUGGCCCCUCACCCUGCACAAGUGGGCACGUCCUCCCUGAGCCCCGAGGGAGGCUCGGAACACAUAGUUUCCCUGUUAUGUACCAGCUGAGGGGCCCGGUGGAUUUAGCUGGGGUGAGGCCCAGGGGCCCAGGCGAGCAGGGGAUGUUCUCGUAGGGAGGACAGGGCUGAGAUGGGAAGAGCAGCUGGUCCUAAGCCCCACAGGGCCCCCCCACAGGGUCCCCUCAGGGCCCCGAGCCUGGGUUUUAUUUUGGGAGGCACCUUCUAGAGUGUAAGCUGCCUCAUCCCGCGGGCACGCGUGGGGUCGCCCAGGACCUAGGGGAUCCUUCAGCCGGCUGUCCAGCUCCGGGACUCUGGGUUCCCGGGAACCCUUGGGGGCUGAUGUUCUGAGCAUGUUUGCUCCGCAGUGUUCUCAGCCACACCUGCACCCUAGCAGGAUGCCAGAGGGCUUUUCCCAGACUUCAGAGCUGAGGCCCGGGCCUGGCGGGCGCCCCCUCCUCCAGCAGGACGGGAACCAACCAUUCACUCAAGCCACGAGCACCCCACGGGCUGCCCUGAAGAGCUGUUGGGAGGAGAGGGUCCAUGAUCCCAGGCUCUGAAGACCUCUGUGCCCAGCAGCGGGGCCUCUGGAGGGUGAGGAGGGAUGCGUAUCAGGAGCAGUCCAUUGCCGGCUGGUGGGGUUUGUUUUGUUAAACCGAAAGAAAAACAGCAGCAGCAGCACAGAGCCCCGGGGCAGCUGACCUCCUGAAGCCAGGCAGGGUGCCUGGGCAGGGCCCCAAAACCACAGAGGAGCCCCAGCCAGCCCUCUGGGGAGCAGGGUCAGGCACCCCGACAGAGGGUGACCAGGACACACGACCCGGCGGCCCUGCAGCCCCCCAGCACCUCCUCACUGGGGACCAGCCUGUCGGCAGGAGGCAGCCCUGGGGGUCGGGGACACAGUCCCAAGGAAGGCUAGGACCUGGAACGCUCCUUAAGGGGUGAGACACCCCUGGGGGGCAGAGCUAGGCCCUGACCAGGGUGGGGACUGCGGAGGAGCUGAGCUGGCUCCAAUCGGUGCAUGGCUGGCUGUCUAGGGGCAGCACAGAGGGAGGUCCCAUCCCAGGCCAGCAGUGGCAAUGCCAUCUCUGAAAAACGGUCCGUGCCAUGAGGCCUGAGCCUCCGGUGCCCUUGCCUGGCAUGCUCUGCCACACCGUGGCCGCGUGAGGGACAGACAGCGCGGGACAGAAUCCCACCUGGCAGGGAGGUGGCAGGCUUGCCAUGUGCCAGCAGGCACCGGGGGAGGAGGGGCUGGGUAUCGGGGGCGGGGACCCUCAGGGCGAAGCUCGAUGUUAGGCGGGCUUCUUCUGGAGGGCCGUGUCUCCUGGGCAAGCAUUAUCAUCUCCACGUUUUAUUUUAUUAUAUUAUUAUUUAUGUAUUUAUUGAAACAGAGUCUUGCUCUGUCACCCAGGGUGGAGUGCAGUGGUGCAACCUCCACCUUCCAGGUUCAAGUGAUUCUCCUACCUCAGCCUCCCGAGUAGCUGGGAUUACAGGCGCCCACCACCACACCUGGCUAAUUUUUGUAUUUUUAGUAGAGACAGGGUUUCUCCAUGUUGGCCAGGCUGGUCUCGAACUCUUGGACUCAAGUGAUCCACCCACCUCAGCCUCCCAAAGUGCUGGGAUUACAGGCAUGAGCCACUGCAUCUGGCCUCGUCUCCACAUUUUAGACAAAUCAAGACAAAGUGACAGCCAGGGGCCUCAGGCUUGCAAGGCAGCAGCUCAAAGUGGAAACCCGGACUCCUGGCCCCUCACCCAGGCCGCACACCCACAGCCAGGCCUCCCUCCCAGAAGCCGCCACCAGGCCUGCUCCGGGGCCCCAGCUUCCUGUGCUCCCGGUCCAGGCGGUGGCCAUUGUCUGCCAGCCAUUAGGAACCAGCUGGGGGAAGUGCCAUGCCCCAGCCCCUGGGCAGCCCAUGUGUCCCUCCUACACCCGCGGGCAGGGCCCUCGAGUCCCAGGUCCCAGUGGCCAGCCAUCGGUCCUCUCACUAACCGCAGGAUGGCCACUGAAGGCCAGAAGGGUGGGGGCCUUGGGGGCUACCCGAAAAUCUCUCCCACCAUGGCCCAGGCCCAUGGGCGUUCUGUGGCUCCAGCCUGUGGCUCGGGGUGGGCGGUUGGGGGGCUGGGUUUUCUGACCCCGGUGGUGGUGAAUGAACAGCAGAGCCCCAUCUACGCCCCCGGCCUGCCGGCUCGCUGGCCUUCCUAAUGAGCGUGUGUUUCCAGAGCCCUUUGAUCUGGGGCUUUAAUGACCAUCCCCUACCGAGGAGCCACCAAUCAAUGGGUCCGCCCCCUCCCCAGUGUGUGCACAACCAAAGCCGGGCUUAUCCAGGCCCCCUGACCGGCAGCCCUGAGGCUGAGGGCUCCCACUCCCGCCCGGGGUCACCAGGAUGUUCUCAGGUGGCAUUCCAGGUGGGACGAGCCCAGCUCCUCCUCAAUGCCUCGAUGCCCACGGCCAGGCCCAGCUGCCCUGGGGUCAUCUGGGCACCUCCUGGCCCAUGAUGGGGGAGGGAGUGGCCGAGCUGUGCUGGCUCCCACCUUCGGGCACCGGGGGGUCUGCUCGGAACAUGGAAAGAAGACAAGACAUGGCCUCAGCUCUGACUCAGGGCAUGGGAGCAGCCUGCGCUUCACACGGUCGGUCCCCCACUCUGCUUGGGGGGCCCUCCUCCCGAGCUCCAUCCUGGGUGGGCCAGGGCCCUCUCCCCGUGGGGUCUCCAAGCCCCAACACUCGGCCCGCAGUGUUCGGCGGGUGUGCCAUCCAUACUGUCCUGCUGGCAGAAGCCGUGCCCUCCGCUGGCCCUGAGGAGACCGCUGCUGCUGUUCCCGCCACUGGGGACACCCUGACUACCAAGCGUAGUUAACAAAGUGGGGGGCGCAACAGGCUGUGUCUCCAAUGUGGCGAUGGGGGGACCCACGCUGUCCCUGCCGACGGGGAGGCGAGGGCCGCAGGGCAAGGCGGGAGCCCCAGCGGGGACUGCAGGGGUCCAGCUCUUUGGGGCCACCCUUCCCCCAGGGCACCCCUCACUCGCGCCCACGCACGCGCAGACGGGAAAUGAGACCUGCGAGGCCGGGCUCGGCCCUCCCCCUCUCUGGCAGCAGGCAUGGGGUUUUAUGAGUGCUACAAAUCAGAUAUCACACAGUUUGGGGCUGACAUGGUUUUUGCAAGAAUUAUUUAAGGCCCUGGCCGCCGGUAAAGUCCCAGGGAGAACGGGGCAGGGCGCACCCAGCUGCUGGGGCCGUCGGAAUUCCAAACACUUCGUAAAGCUAAGGUAUGAGCCGCGAGCACCUUGUUCUGUUUAACAGGCUGCUUCACCCCUGCCCUGGGCCGCGCGAGGGCUGCCGGGAACACCUCCCCCAGGCCAGGAGGAGGGGGCCGCCUGCAGCUGGGAAAGCUGGGGCCUGCCUGGGCGGCCCUGGCUCCAGGCUGAGAAGCUGAGAGGGAGUGAGUUGAAGGGUUGGCCCCGCUAGCAUCUCCUCCCAACCCCGAAGCACUGCCCAGGGUCCUGCUGUCAACCCCACACACGGGGCCUGAGCCGCUCCUGGUGGUCUCCUGUGCUCCAUCCUGGGCCCGGCUCGCUCCUCCUGGGGUCUGUGGCAAACUCUCGCAGGCCGGGACCAUGCCCAGUGCCCACGCGCCGGGAGCACGGCGGUGUCCUCGCCUGGAAUGGGCCUCACUCGGCAUCUGUGACUGGUCAGUUCUGCCGGCCGAGCCUGCUGCUAACUGGGCCGUGUCACGGGCUCAGGCUGUCCUCUGGCUACUUCCCUGCUACUUCCCUUCAGUGGGCCCAGGCCAAGGCGGGGAGCGCAGAUGUGCCCAAUGUCACCACUGCCGGAGGAGGGACGGCCAUGUGGGUGGCCCGGGGCACCCCAGGUACACCCCAGGAAGCUGCUCAUGGGUACCCAUUGGUGAGGAGGGUGCAGGGGGAGGCACACGCCAAUUCAUCAACCUCAGGGAUGCGUUCAGGUUUCUAUCCUGGGAUAUUUGAGCACUUCCAUAAUUAUCCAAAUACCAGUGGCGUCUCGUACUGACAGACAAUGGCACCCUUCCUUCUGCGAUCAGUGCUAAAACCCACGACACUGUCAUCACGCAGAGUGCUGAGCAACCGCGCUGAGAAUACGGGACGCACGGACACGAAGCCCUCCCAGUGAACCUGUGGGAAGGAGGCGAGCAGCAUCGCGUGACCGGGACUGGCCCGGCUAAGGGGGCUCUGCAGAGCAGGGCCAUGGGCUCCCCAAUCUGGAGGGGAGGCUGCUCACUCAUUACCUGGCCUCUCCACCCACUGAGUGCCCUGAACCAGGCCUCUGCCUCAGGGGUGCCCUCAGGGGAACUCAGAGGACUGUGCAAAGGUGGGCUUCGAGUCCCUGACGCUGCGUGGAGGGCCUCUGCCGUGCGGAUGCCAGGCAGGAAGGAGUGGAGAAGCAGGAAGGGGCGUUACUGUCGGACCCAACGGGCCCAUCCCUUUCCAGCCCCCAACUUCCCUGGGGUGACGGGGCCUGGACCUGUGGACCCCUGUCUCUGCGGGAAAUGUUUGCUGCAGGUCCCACGGCUGCACCCUCCUGGGACAGGCUGCGGACCCUGCACAUCUGAGCUUCUAUGAAUUCCAUGUAGAAUUCCAUGGGAUUUCUGGAAUCUUCUGUCUCAUGUCUCUCAGUGAGGGAGGAUGGCAAAGAACGUCAGAGGGAAGGAUGGGGUAGCGGCUCUGUCCUGGGCCUGAGGGACGUCUCUGAAGGCCAGCGCCCCCAGCCUCCCACCAUGGGCGCCCCAGAGCAGGGGUCACUCUAGCCAUGGGGUGAGCCCCCUAGGGUCUCAGCUUUGCAGAGCUGGGCCCAGGCCAAGGCAAGGAGUGCAGAUGUGAGGGGGAGAACGGUGGGGGGUCUCCCACCCUCUCGCAGAGCUGGCUUUGUGCAGGGAGAAUGCAGGCCUGGCCGGCCCUCCCCAUUGGACACAGCGUCAGGGCCCCAGCGUCCACGGAGGCCAGGGCCAAUCAAAGCCAGAUGUCGGAGAAACAAGAAAAGCUGACUAUUUUGACUAGAAAAAGCCCUAUUUACAAAGAAAUAAUGAAG
rnacentral:lncRNA from 1 species